AGUGAACGCUGGCGGUAGGCCUAACACAUGCAAGUCGAACGAGUGGCGGACGGGUGAGGAAUACAUCGGAAUCUACUCUGUCGUGGGGGAUAACGUAGGGACACUUACGCUAAUACCGCCUACGAUUUAAUGCGCCGAUGUCGGAUGAGCUCGUUGGCGGGGUAAAGGCCCCACAAGGCGACGAUCCGUAGCUGGUCUGAGAGACUGAUCAGCCACACUGUACCUGUGACACGGUCCAGACUCCUACGGGAGGCAUCAGUGGGGAAUAUUGGACGAUGGGCGCAAGCCUGAUCCAGCCAUACCGCGUGGGUGAAGAUGUCCUUCGGGUUGUAAAGCCCUUUUGUUGGGAAAGCGGUACCCAAAGAAUAAGCACCGGCUAACUUCGUGCCAGCAGCCGCGGUAAUUC
rnacentral:rRNA from 1 species